UUGAAUAAAUCUGGCAUGGUAGAUGCUGACUCUUCGGAGUAUGUGCUCACCCGUCACCUUUAUCUUUCCACCUGUGAACCCUUUGUAGUCCCAGGAUACUCUCGCGCACUCUGUGUUGCGGAUGCGAAGGUUGUUGUGCCUUUUAGGUCGACUUCCCUCGAAUUUCCUGGGUCUAUGUAUCUUACACACCCCAACUGUAUGUUAAAAAGAAUGUUGAUUUCAAAGGCCUACAAGCCUAUAGAAACUCAAUA
rnacentral:misc_RNA from 1 species